AACGAACGCUGGCGGCAGGCUUAACACAUGCAAGUCGAACGCACCUUUCGGGGUGAGUGGCAGACGGGUGAGUAACGCGUGGGAAUCUACCCUUCUCUACGGGAUAGCUCCGGGAAACUGGAAUUAAUACCGUAUACGUCCUGAGGGAGAAAGAUUUAUCGGGGAAGGAUGAGCCCGCGUUGGAUUAGCUAGUUGGUUGGGUAAAGGCCUACCAAGGCGACGAUCCAUAGCUGGUCUAAGAGGAUGAUCAGCCACAUUGGGACUGAGACACGGCCCAAACUCCUACGGGAGGCAGCAGUGGGGAAUAUUGGACAAUGGGGGCAAGCAUGAUCCAGCCAUGCCGCGUGAGUGAUGAAGGCACUAGGGUUGUAAAGCUCUUUCAGUGGGGACGAUAAUGACGGUACCCACAGAAGAAGCCCCGGCUAACUUCGUG
rnacentral:rRNA from 1 species